rnacentral:rRNA from 1 species
GAUGAACGCUAGCGAUAGGCUUAACACAUGCAAGUCGAGGGGCAGCACAAGGUAGCUUGCUAUCUGGGUGGCGACCGGCGCACGGGUGCGUAACGCGUAUGCAACUUGCCCUAUACAGGAGGAUAACCCGUCGAAAGCCGGACUAAUAAUGCGUAUGCUCCCAACUUGGCAUCCAGUGGUGAGGAAAGAAAUUCGGUAUAGGAUAGGCAUGCGUCCCAUUAGCUUGUUGGUGAGGUAACGGCUCACCAAGGCAACGAUGGGUAGGGGAACUGAGAGGUUUAUCCCCCACACUGGUACUGAGACACGGACCAGACGCCUACGGGAGGCAGCAGUGAGGAAUAGUGGUCAAUGGGCGCGAGCCUGAACCAGCCAAGUCGCGUGAAGGAUGACUGUCUUAUGGAUUGUAAACUUCUGUUAUACGGGAAUAACAAGAGUCACGUGUGACUCCCUGCAUGUACCGUAUGAAUAAGCAUCGGCUAACUCCGUG